UACGGGGGGGGCAAGCGUUGUUCGGAAUUACUGGGCGUAAAGGGCUCGUAGGCGGCCAACUAAGUCAUACGUAAAAUCCCUCGGCUUAACCGGGGAACUGCGUCUGAUACUGGAUGGCUUGAGUUCGGGAGAGGGAUGCGGAAUUCCGGGUGUAGCGGUGGAAUGCGUAGAGAUCCGGAAGAACACCGGUGGCGAAGGCGGCCUGCUGGGCAGUGGCUGGACGCUGAGGCGCGACAGCGUGGGGGAGCAAACAGG
rnacentral:rRNA from 1 species